AAUUUUGCGCAAUGGGCGAAAGCCUGACGCAGCGACGCCGCGUGGAGGAUGAAGGUCUUCGGAUUGUAAACUCCUUUUGCAGGGGAAGAUAAUGACGGUACCCUGCGAAUAAGCCACGGCUAACUCUGUGCCAGCAGCCGCGGUAAGACAGAGGUGGCAAGCGUUGUUCGGAAUUACUGGGCUUAAAGGGCGCGUAGGUGUCCCGACAAGUCAGAUGUGGAAUCUUUUCGCUUAACGAAAAAACGGCAUCUGAAACUAUCGGGAUUGAGUCAGACAGGGGAUGGCGGAAUUCCCGGUGUAGCGGUGAAAUGCGUAGAUAUCGGGAGGAAGGCCGGUGGCGAAGGCGGCCAUCUGGGUCUGAACUGACACUGAGGCGCGAAAGCGUGGGUAGCAAACAGGAUUAGAUACCCUGGUAGUCCACGCCCUAAACGGUGGGCACUAGGUGUAGGGCUCGUAAGGGUUCUGUGCCGAAGGGAAACCAUUAAGUGCCCCGCCUGGGGAGUACGGCCGCAAGGUUG
rnacentral:rRNA from 1 species